rnacentral:rRNA from 1 species
AUGGGGUGCAGCAGGCGCGAAACCUCCGCAAUGCGGGAAACCGCGACGGGGGGACCCCCAGCGCCGUGCCUCUGGCACGGCUUUUCCGGAGUGUAAAAAGCUCCGGGAAUAAGGGCUGGGCAAGGCCGGUGGCAGCCGCCGCGGUAAUACCGGCGGCCCGAGUGGUGGCCACUAUUAUUGGGCCUAAAGCGGCCGUAGCCGGGCCCGUAAGUCCCUGGCGAAAUCCCACGGCUCAACCGUGGGGCUCGCUGGGGAUACUGCGGGCCUUGGGACCGGGAGAGGCCGGGGGUACCCCCGGGGUAGGGGUGAAAUCCUAUAAUCCCGGGGGGACCGCCAGUGGCGAAGGCGCCCGGCUGGAACGGGUCCGACGGUGAGGGCCGAAGGCCAGGGGAGCGAACCGGAUUAGAUACCCGGGUAGUCCUGGCUGUAAAGGAUGCGGGCUAGGUGUCGGGCGAGCUUCGAGCUCGCCCGGUGCCGUAGGGAAGCCGUUAAGCCCGCCGCCUGGGGAGUACGGCCGCAAGGCUGAAACUUAAAGGAAUUGGCGGGGGAGCAC